rnacentral:rRNA from 1 species
AGAGUUUGAUCCUGGCUCAGAUUGAACGCUGGCGGCAGGCCUAACACAUGCAAGUCGAACGGUAACAUUUCUAGCUUGCUAGAAGAUGACGAGUGGCGGACGGGUGAGUAAUGCUUGGGAACUUGCCUUUGCGAGGGGGAUAACAGUUGGAAACGACUGCUAAUACCGCAUAAUGUCUUCGGACCAAACGGGGCUUCGGCUCCGGCGCAAAGAGAGGCCCAAGUGAGAUUAGCUAGUUGGUAAGGUAACGGCUUACCAAGGCGACGAUCUCUAGCUGUUCUGAGAGGAAGAUCAGCCACACUGGGACUGAGACACGGCCCAGACUCCUACGGGAGGCAGCAGUGGGGAAUAUUGCACAAUGGGGGAAACCCUGAUGCAGCCAUGCCGCGUGUGUGAAGAAGGCCUUCGGGUUGUAAAGCACUUUCAGUUGUGAGGAAAAGUUAGUAGUUAAUACCUGCUAGCCGUGACGUUAACAACAGAAGAAGCACCGGCUAACUCCGUGCCAGCAGCCGCGGUAAUACGGAGGGUGCGAGCGUUAAUCGGAAUUACUGGGCGUAAAGCGCACGCAGGCGGUUUGUUAAGCUAGAUGUGAAAGCCCCGGGCUCAACCUGGGAUGGUCAUUUAGAACUGGCAGACUAGAGUCUUGGAGAGGGGAGUGGAAUUCCAGGUGUAGCGGUGAAAUGCGUAGAUAUCUGGAGGAACAUCAGUGGCGAAAGCGACUCCCUGGCCAAGACUGACGCUCAUGUGCGAAAGUGUGGGUAGCGAACAGGAUUAGAUACCCUGGUAGUCCACACCGUAACGCUGUCUACUAGCUGUGUGUGUCUUUAAGACGUGCGUAGCGAAGCUAACGCGCU